rnacentral:rRNA from 1 species
UACGUAGGGUGCAAGCGUUGUCCGGAAUUAUUGGGCGUAAAGAGCUCGUAGGCGGCUUGUCACGUCGACUGUGAAAACCCGGGGCUCAACUCCGGGCCUGCAGUCGAUACGGGCUGGCUUGAGUGCGGUAGGGGAGACUGGAAUUCCUGGUGUAGCGGUGAAAUGCGCAGAUAUCUGGAGGAACACCGGUGGCGAAGGCGACGUCCUGGACCGGCAUUGACGCUGAGGCGCGAAAGCCAGGGGAGCAAACGGG